rnacentral:rRNA from 1 species
AUUGAACGCUGGCGGCAGGCCUAACACAUGCAAGUCGAGCGGAUGAAGGGAGCUUGCUCCUGGAUUCAGCGGCGGACGGGUGAGUAAUGCCUAGGAAUCUGCCUGGUAGUGGGGGAUAACGUCCGGAAACGGGCGCUAAUACCGCAUACGUCCUGAGGGAGAAAGUGGGGGAUCUUCGGACCUCACGCUAUCAGAUGAGCCUAGGUCGGAUUAGCUAGUUGGUGGGGUAAAGGCCUACCAAGGCGACGAUCCGUAACUGGUCUGAGAGGGUGAUCAGUCACACUGGAACUGAGACACGGUCCAGACUCCUACGGGAGGCAGCAGUGGGGAAUAUUGGACAAUGGGCGAAAGCCUGAUCCAGCCAUGCCGCGUGUGUGAAGAAGGUCUUCGGAUUGUAAAGCACUUUAAGUUGGGAGGAAGGGCAGUAAGUUAAUACCUUGCUGUUUUGACGUGACCAACAGAAUAAGCACCGGCUAACUUCG